CUCUGGCUGGGAGAUUAAGGGCAAGAUUCAUUACCUCAAAUUGUUUUAAAAACCAGCUGGUAAUUGACUGUGAUUUAAAAUAUUUAAAUCAAUAAAUGAAAGGUUAGGUAAAGGAAACUAGUUAAAAAGUGAAAGGUUAGGGAAAGAGAACUAAAUUCCAGGAAAAGACAAGGCCCACAGCAAAAACUAACACAGACUGGAAGGCACAGUCCCCUCCCAGUAAACUUAAUUUCAUCCAGAAAGACAAGCUCUCCACCCUCCGGGGUUAUGCCCUUCUUCCAGCACACAUGUUUUGACUUCCAAAUCCAGCCAGGCAGGCUCCCAACCUCCCUCCCCCUCAAAAUUGAUCUCCAGGCCCCGGCUCACCCCCUCUGAUCUGUUCCCCCAAUCAUCCUUAAUAACAGUGCUCUGGGCCUCCUACUAGGAGGUCCUCCAAGAGCCAGGCCAGUGGCUGUCAGGUCAAGAGCCAAGCGUGAGGGCCCCAUUAACAGGAGACUCCCAGAAGACCAAGCAGCAGUCAUCUGGCUGGAAAACCCAGCAAGCAAGUUAAAAAGAAAAAAAAAUCAGGAUAUACACGUGGUGGAUCAUAGAAAAAAAGAAGAAAAGCAAGCAAAAACUAUACAAAGCAAAACUCCACUAUUUAAAUAACAGCCACAGAAUAAGAGACUUUCCCUUCUUUCAUUCUGAUUUACAAUUCAAAGGCAUAAGAACUUCACCCCUCCUGGUCUCAUACUUUUAAAUGUAACCUAAGGAUAACUGCUUUUCAGACUUUGAUCAUGUCAUGCCUGACCCUUCAGGAAAGAAAGUUGUGUUAAGACACAGAAGUGCUUUAGUGGAAAACAGCCCAUGAUGAGGGAAAUUCACCAUUUUGCACUUUUUCAAUCUUUAAAUAAAAAGGAAACUGAUAAAAAUGGAAAGAUACCCCUAGGCCUUUCCUACUGCGGAUAACGGUAACAAAACAGCAUUAUCCGAUCUAAACUCAGCUGUGCCUCAAACACUAUCAUAAGUGCUGGAAGCGUUAAAGGUACAAGCAACAUUAGCCUAGAAAUGCCUUCGGUAGCCAGACGUGAAUUAAAAGGCUCCUCAGAUGCCGGCGAAAUGUCCUACACGAGUAAGGAAAGGAAAGAGAACUGAAUAUAGUUAAGUGGACACUGAUCGGAGAGGAAGCAGCACGGGUUCCAGACACCUAACGGGCAGCCUUGGGGAUGCAGUAAAGGCCGACCCUUUCCUUCCCUUCCCUUGAGUGGCCGGACGCCUCACCCAGGAGACGACUCAGGGAACUCAACAACGUCUCGGGAGCAACGGCCCGGCGGAAAAGGAAACGGAGGUCCAGGAAAGGGAUGUGAUUUUCCAAAGACACACCUGUGAAAGGUAAUGAUUUCAUUCAACUGGUCCUAAGUGCCAGGUGCACUAAGAUUGUCUGCUAUUUUCACAAUAACCCCAAAACAUCCGUGUUGAACCAUGAAAGGACCUCAGGAAUGAAAGCCACACACAGCAAAGCAACAAGAUAAAAGAGGCAUGAGUUCCUAAUGCAAGAGGCACUGAACAAAUCAAUACACACUGCCUUCCAGACCUCUGCAUGAAAGAAAAAAAACUGCUGUCCUGUGUAAGACACUUUUGUGUUUUCUAUUGUAUGGGGUCAAACCUAAUCAUAACAGAUAUAUUACACUUUACCUUAUAGAAUUCUUAAACAGCAACCUUCUACAGUGAUGCAAAAACAGGCCCAAAGAGUAAAAAUUAGUUCAAAGUUAUCCAGCCAAGUAGCCAGGGUGAGAUUCUGACCUGAGUUUGUCUGAAACCAAUUUUCAUUAUCUUUUUCAGUUAUGAUACACUGCCUGUUAUGAACGAUUGAAUUCUUUUUUUUCCUUUUACUUCCAUUUGAUUCAUUCCAGGGAGUGACACAUUUUUUCUGUAAAGGACAAAUAUUAAAUAUUUUUAGACUUGUGAGCAAUACAGUAUCUGUUGCAACUACUCAACUUUGUAAUGUAAAAGCAGCCACAGACAAUAGUAAAUGAGUAGGUAUGACUAUGUUUCAAUAAAACUUUACUUAUAAAAGCAAGCAAUGAACAGUGUAGCCCGUGAACCUUAGUCUGUCAACUCCUAAUGAAACUGGAAAAGUUCCCUUAUCUCCCUCACUUGGCGUGCGCAAUGGGGGUGUGACGCACUUAUUCAGGGCCCGGCUGGCUGCACAAACCUCUAGGAGAGCAUACAGCCAGGUAGGCUGUGGAGUUCCAAUCCCGCAUUCACUCCAUCUAGGGGUGAAUGUUUACAGCUGAAGCCCCUGUGGGUAUGUGUUAUAGGGUGCUCUUUUAGUUUAGCUGUCUGUAGGUGGCUUGUGUUAGUCACCUCAAAC